rnacentral:rRNA from 1 species
UACGUGAGGGGCGAGCGUUGUUCGGUGUCACUGGGCUUAAAGGGUGCGUAGGCGGUUGCGUAAGUAAGGUGUGAAAUCCCUCGGCUUACCCGCGGAAUUGCAUUUUAUACUGCGUGGCUUGAGGACUAAAGGGGAAAAGGGAACUCCAGGUGUAGCGGUGAAAUGCGCAGAUAUCUGGGGGAAGGCCGGCGGCGAAGGCGCUUUUCUGGUAAGUACCUGACACUGAGGCACGAAAGCGUGGGGAGCAAACAGG